CGACAGUAUAUUGACUGUGCAAAGGUAGCAUAAUCAUUAGUUUUUUAAUUAAGAACUGGAAUGAAUGGUUCGACGAAAUAAUAACUGUCUUGUUUUGAUUAUAAUAAAAUUUUAUUUUUUAGUAAAAAAGCUUAAAUUAUAUUAAAAGACGAGAAGACCCUAUAAAUCUUUAUUAUUAAUUUAUUGAUUAAUUUAUAGAUAUAUUUUUUAAUUAAUUAAUUAAUAAUUUUAUUGGGGUGACAUAGAAAUUUAAUUAACAUUUAAUUUAAUAUAACAUAAAUUAAUGAAUUAUUGAUCUUUUAUUAACGAUUAUAAGAAUAAGUUACUUUAGGGAUAACAGCGUAAUUUUUUUGGAGAGUUCUUAUCGAUAAAAAAGAUUGCGACCUCGAUAUUGGAUUAAGAUUCUAAUUUAAAUGCAAAAGUUUAAAGUUUAAGUCUGUUCGACUUUUAAAAUCUUACAUGAUCUGAGUUCAAACCGGCGUAAGGCAGGUUGGUUUCUAUCUUUAGUAAAUUUUAAUAUUUUAGUAC
rnacentral:ncRNA from 1 species